rnacentral:rRNA from 1 species
GAUGAACGCUGGCGGCGUGCCUAAUACAUGCAAGUCGAGCGAACAGACGAGGAGCUUGCUCCUCUGACGUUAGCGGCGGACGGGUGAGUAACACGUGGAUAACCUCCCUAUAAGACUGGGAUAACUUCGGGAAACCGGAGCUAAUACCGGAUAAUAUAUUGAACCGCAUGGUUCAAUAGUGAAAGACGGUUUUGCUGUCACUUAUAGAUGGAUCCGCGCCGCAUUAGCUAGUUGGUAAGGUAACGGCUUACCAAGGCGACGAUGCGUAGCCGACCUGAGAGGGUGAUCGGCCACACUGGAGCGGAGACGCGGUCCAGACGCCUACGGGAGGCAGCAGUAGGGAAUCUUCCGCAAUGGGCGGAAGCCUGACGGAGCAACGCCGCGUGAGUGAUGAAGGUCUUCGGAUCGUAAAGCCCUGUUAUUAGGGAAGAACAAAUGUGUAAGUAACUAUGCACGUCUUGACGGUACCUAAUCAGAAAGCCACGGCUAACUACGUG